rnacentral:rRNA from 2 species
GCUCAGAACGAACGCUGGCGGCAGGCUUAACACAUGCAAGUCGAGCGCCCCGCAAGGGGAGCGGCAGACGGGUGAGUAACGCGUGGGAAUCUACCCUUGACUACGGAAUAACGCAGGGAAACUUGUGCUAAUACCGUAUGUGUCCUUCGGGAGAAAGAUUUAUCGGUCAAGGAUGAGCCCGCGUUGGAUUAGCUAGUUGGUGGGGUAAAGGCCUACCAAGGCGACGAUCCAUAGCUGGUCUGAGAGGAUGAUCAGCCACAUUGGGACUGAGACACGGCCCAAACUCCUACGGGAGGCAGCAGUGGGGAAUAUUGGACAAUGGGCGCAAGCCUGAUCCAGCCAUGCCGCGUGAGUGAUGAAGGCCCUAGGGUUGUAAAGCUCUUUCACCGGAGAAGAUAAUGACG